GGGGCUGGGGCUCAGUGGUCGAGCACUUGCCUGGUAAGCGUGAGGCCCUGGGUUCGAAACUCAGCACCA
rnacentral:tRNA from 1 species